rnacentral:lncRNA from 1 species
GGGUCAGAUCUCAGACUAUUCAUCAAUGGCCAGCGACCCUGGUGCAGCCUGUGGGCAGCCCGCUCUCUCUGGAGUGCACUGUGGAGGGAACAUCAAACCCCAACCUAUACUGGUACCGACAGGCUGCAGGCAGGGGCCUCCAGCUGCUCUUCUACUCCGUUGGUAUUGGCCAGAUCAGCUCUGAGGUGCCCCAGAAUCUCUCAGCCUCCAGACCCCAGGACCGGCAGUUCAUCCUGAGUUCUAAGAAGCUCCUUCUCAGUGACUCUGGCUUCUAUCUCUGUGCCUGGAGUGUCACACUGAGCUGGGUGG